rnacentral:rRNA from 1 species
GAUGAACGCUGGCGGCGUGCCUAAUACAUGCAAGUCGAGCGAACGGACGAGAAGCUUGCUUCUCUGAUGUUAGCGGCGGACGGGUGAGUAACACGUGGAUAACCUACCUAUAAGACUGGGAUAACUUCGGGAAACCGGAGCUAAUACCGGAUAAUAUUUUGAACCGCAUGGUUCAAAAGUAAAAGACGGUCUUGCUGUCACUUAUAGAUGGAUCCGCGCUGCAUUAGCUAGUUGGUAAGGUAACGGCUUACCAAGGCAACGAUGCAUAGCCGACCUGAGAGGGUGAUCGGCCACACUGGAACUGAGACACGGUCCAGACUCCUACGGGAGGCAGCAGUAGGGAAUCUUCCGCAAUGGGCGAAAGCCUGACGGAGCAACGCCGCGUGAGUGAUGAAGGUCUUCGGAUCGUAAAACUCUGUUAUUAGGGAAGAAUAUAUGUGUAAGUAACUGUGCACAUCUUGACGGUACCUAAUCAGAAAGCCACGGCUAACUACGUGCCAGCAGCCGCGGUAAUACGUAGGUGGCAAGCGUUAUCCGGAAUUAUUGGGCGUAAAGCGCGCGUAGGCGGUUUUUUAAGUCUGAUGUGAAAGCCCACGGCUCAACCGUGGAGGGUCAUUGGAAACUGGAAAACUUGAGUGCAGAAGAGGAAAGUGGAAUUCCAUGUGUAGCGGUGAAAUGCGCAGAGAUAUGGAGGAACACCAGUGGCGAAGGCGACUUUCUGGUCUGUAACUGACGCUGAUGUGCGAAAGCGUGGGGAUCAAACAGGAUUAGAUACCCUGGUAGUCCACGCCGUAAACGAUGAGUGCUAAGUGUUAGGGGGUUUCCGCCCCUUAGUGCUGCAGCUAACGCAUUAAGCACUCCGCCUGGGGAGUACGACCGCAAGGUUGAAACUCAAAGGAAUUGACGGGGACCCGCACAAGCGGUGGAGCAUGUGGUUUAAUUCGAAGCAACGCGAAGAACCUUACCAAAUCUUGACAUCCUUUGACAACUCUAGAGAUAGAGCCUUCCCCUUCGGGGGACAAAGUGACAGGUGGUGCAUGGUUGUCGUCAGCUCGUGUCGUGAGAUGUUGGGUUAAGUCCCGCAACGAGCGCAACCCUUAAGCUUAGUUGCCAUCAUUAAGUUGGGCACUCUAAGUUGACUGCCGGUGACAAACCGGAGGAAGGUGGGGAUGACGUCAAAUCAUCAUGCCCCUUAUGAUUUGGGCUACACACGUGCUACAAUGGACGAUACAAAGGGCAGCGAAACCGCGAGGUCAAGCAAAUCCCAUAAAGUUGUUCUCAGUUCGGAUUGUAGUCUGCAACUCGACUACAUGAAGCUGGAAUCGCUAGUAAUCGUAGAUCAGCAUGCUACGGUGAAUACGUUCCCGGGUCU